CUUGAUUCAGUUCUUUCCAUCUUCUUAUCAAUCAAGAACUUGGUCUUGAUCUUAACCUCAUGCCUACCUAAACUCACCUAUAAAUACCCAACCCUUUCACCACCAUUGUUCCUCACACCACAGAAGUUACCCCUGUUCACACUAAACUUUUCCCUCUGUUUCGAACUUAUUCGCCGGAGAAGCCCACAUCCGCCGCCGACAUUAACCACCAUCGCCGGAGAAGACGACCGGUGCCCCAACGGAAAGUCUCGCCGCCGUGUUUCGGCUAAUCACUUUUGCUCGUUAUCUUGGAUUCUACCCAAUCUUACUCGUGCGUACUUACAAGAAAUCGCAACGCAAUCAAAGUUGAAUGAUGAGUUGAUGCUAUGAAGAAUUUAGGUGGACUUAGAUACACACAUAGAUUAAUUUUAGUUAUUGAAUGUUAUGUUAUUUUGAAGGAAUGUUGACUUUUAUUUUUGAUCCUUGUAUGACAAUUUA